AAAAUGGAUUCUUGAAGUCAUUCUAAUCAUAACACUAAAUUCAUUUUAUUGAUACAUAAAUGUACUCACAAAUUCAAAUAUUUC
rnacentral:tRNA from 1 species